rnacentral:rRNA from 1 species
UGCAGUCGAGCGGAUCUUCAUUAGCUUGCUUUUGAAGAUCAGCGGCGGACGGGUGAGUAACACGUGGGCAACCUGCCUGUAAGACUGGGAUAACUUCGGGAAACCGGAGCUAAUACCGGAUAAUCCUUUCCCUCUCAUGAGGGAAAGCUGAAAGACGGUUUCGGCUGUCACUUACAGAUGGGCCCGCGGCGCAUUAGCUAGUUGGUGAGGUAACGGCUCACCAAGGCAACGAUGCGUAGCCGACCUGAGAGGGUGAUCGGCCACACUGGGACUGAGACACGGCCCAGACUCCUACGGGAGGCAGCAGUAGGGAAUCUUCCGCAAUGGACGAAAGUCUGACGGAGCAACGCCGCGUGAACGAUGAAGGCCUUCGGGUCGUAAAGUUCUGUUGUCAGGGAAGAACAAGUAUCGGAGUAACUGCCGGUACCUUGACGGUACCUGACCAGAAAGCCACGGCUAACUACGUGCCAGCAGCCGCGGUAAUACGUAGGUGGCAAGCGUUGUCCGGAAUUAUUGGGCGUAAAGCGCGCGCAGGCGGUUCCUUAAGUCUGAUGUGAAAGCCCCCGGCUCAACCGGGGAGGGUCAUUGGAAACUGGGGAACUUGAGUGCAGAAGAGGAGAGCGGAAUUCCACGUGUAGCGGUGAAAUGCGUAGAGAUGUGGAGGAACACCAGUGGCGAAGGCGGCUCUCUGGUCUGUAACUGACGCUGAGGCGCGAAAGCGUGGGGAGCGAACAGGAUUAGAUACCCUGGUAGUCCACGCCGUAAACGAUGAGUGCUAAGUGUUAGAGGGUUUCCGCCCUUUAGUGCUGCAGCAAACGCAUUAAGCACUCCGCCUGGGGAGUACGGCCGCAAGGCUGAAACUCAAAGGAAUUGACGGGGGCCCGCACAAGCGGUGGAGCAUGUGGUUUAAUUCGAAGCAACGCGAAGAACCUUACCAGGUCUUGACAUCCUCUGACAACCCUAGAGAUAGGGCGUUCCCCUUCGGGGGACAGAGUGACAGGUGGUGCAUGGUUGUCGUCAGCUCGUGUCGUGAGAUGUUGGGUUAAGUCCCGCAACGAGCGCAACCCUUGAUCUUAGUUGCCAG